CUGUCGGCGUGCUUAACACAUGCAAGUCGAACGGAAAGGCCCUGCUUUUGUGGGGUGCUCGAGUGGCGAACGGGUGAGUAACACGUGAGUAACCUGCCCUUGACUUUGGGAUAACUUCAGGAAACUGGGGCUAAUACCGGAUAGGAGCUCCUGCUGCAUGGUGGGGGUUGGAAAGUUUCGGCGGUUGGGGAUGGACUCGCGGCUUAUCAGCUUGUUGGUGGGGUAGUGGCUUACCAAGGCUUUGACGGGUAGCCGGCCUGAGAGGGUGACCGGCCACAUUGGGACUGAGAUACGGCCCAGACUCCUACGGGAGGCAGCAGUGGGGAAUAUUGCACAAUGGGCGGAAGCCUGAUGCAGCAACGCCGCGUGCGGGAUGACGGCCUUCGGGUUGUAAACCGCUUUCGCCUGUGACGAAGCGUGAGUGACGGUAAUGGGUAAAGAAGCACCGGCUAACUACGUGCCAGCAGCCGCGGUGAUACGUAGGGUGCGAGCGUUGUCCGGAUUUAUUGGGCGUAAAGGGCUCGUAGGUGGUUGAUCGCGUCGGAAGUGUAAUCUUGGGGCUUAACCCUGAGCGUGCUUUCGAUACGGGUUGACUUGAGGAAGGUAGGGGAGAAUGGAAUUCCUGGUGGAGCGGUGGAAUGCGCAGAUAUCAGGAGGAACACCAGUGGCGAAGGCGGUUCUCUGGGCCUUUCCUGACGCUGAGGAGCGAAAGCGUGGGGAGCGAACAGGCUUAGAUACCCUGGUAGUCCACGCUGUAAACGGUGGGUACUAGGUGUGGGGUCCGUUCCACGGGUUCCGUGCCGUAGCUAACGCUUUAAGUACCCCGCCUGGGGAGUACGGCCGCAAGGCUAAAACUCAAAGGAAUUGACGGGGCCCCGCACAAGCGGCGGAGCAUGCGGAUUAAUUCGAUGCAACGCGUAGAACCUUACCUGGGUUUGACAUGGAUCGGGAGUGCUCAGAGAUGGGUGUGCCUCUUUUGGGGUCGGUUCACAGGUGGUGCAUGGCUGUCGUCAGCUCGUGUCGUGAGAUGUUGGGUUAAGUCCCGCAACGAGCGCAACCCUUGUUCACUGUUGCCAGCACGUUAUGGUGGGGACUCAGUGGAGACCGCCGGGGUCAACUCGGAGGAAGGUGGGGAUGACGUCAAGUCAUCAUGCCCCUUAUGUCCAGGGCUUCACGCAUGCUACAAUGGCUGGUACAGAGAGUGGCGAGCCUGUGAGGGUGAGCGAAUCUCGGAAAGCCGGUCUCAGUUCGGAUUGGGGUCUGCAACUCGACCUCAUGAAGUCGGAGUCGCUAGUAAUCGCAGAUCAGCAACGCUGCGGUGAAUACGUUCCCGGGGCUUGUACACACCGCCCGUCAAGUCAUGAAAGUUGGUAACACCCGAAGCCGGUGGCCUAACCGUUGUGGGGGAGCCGUCGAAGGUGGGACUGGUGAUUAGGA
rnacentral:rRNA from 1 species